CCGAAGGCAGGAUCCCCGACCCUGAAGCUGGAGAAGGCACCUCUGGUACAAAUGUUUCUAGGCUUCCCCUACCAUCUCUGUCCCUGAGGUUAUCACAGAUUAGAAGGC